GAGCUAUUUUUACUGUCAAGAUUUGCUCCGAUGGAAUAUGGGUAUAAAUAUCCCUCCGACCUGAGACCGCCACAGUGACUUGCAAGCAACUCACUGCACUUAGGCACUGGACUACCUGAAUUUCUAAUUCAGUGACAGAAGGCUGCUGGGUGUAGUCAAGUACUUGACUUGUCGGUGCGUGUGUCAAGAUGGGAUUGACCACUCCAAUUUAGGAGCUGUGUACAGUCAUGUUUCAAUUUAGCAAAAUCUUGGCCAGGGU
rnacentral:lncRNA from 1 species